rnacentral:rRNA from 2 species
AAAUUGAAGAGUUUGAUCAUGGCUCAGAUUGAACGCUGGCGGCAGGCCUAACACAUGCAAGUCGAACGGUAACAGGAAGCAGCUUGCUGCUUCGCUGACGAGUGGCGGACGGGUGAGUAAUGUCUGGGAAACUGCCUGAUGGAGGGGGAUAACUACUGGAAACGGUGGCUAAUACCGCAUAACGUCGCAAGACCAAAGAGGGGGACCUUCGGGCCUCUUGCCAUCAGAUGUGCCCAGAUGGGAUUAGCUUGUUGGUGAGGUAACGGCUCACCAAGGCGACGAUCCCUAGCUGGUCUGAGAGGAUGACCAGCCACACUGGAACUGAGACACGGUCCAGACUCCUACGGGAGGCAGCAGUGGGGAAUAUUGCACAAUGGGCGCAAGCCUGAUGCAGCCAUGCCGCGUGUAUGAAGAAGGCCUUCGGGUUGUAAAGUACUUUCAGCGGGGAGGAAGGUGUUGCGGUUAAUAACCGCAGCAAUUGACGUUACCCGCAGAAGAAGCACCGGCUAACUCCGUGCCAGCAGCCGCGGUAAUACGGAGGGUGCAAGCGUUAAUCGGAAUUACUGGGCGUAAAGCGCACGCAGGCGGUCUGUCAAGUCGGAUGUGAA